GAUGAACGCUGGCGGCGUGCCUAAUACAUGCAAGUCGAGCGAACAGACGAGGAGCUUGCUCCUCUGACGUUAGCGGCGGACGGGUGAGUAACACGUGGAUAACCUACCUAUAAGACUGGGAUAACUUCGGGAAACCGGAGCUAAUACCGGAUAAUAUAUUGAACCGCAUGGUUCAAUAGUGAAAGACGGUUUUGCUGUCACUUAUAGAUGGAUCCGCGCCGCAUUAGCUAGUUGGUAAGGUAACGGCUUACCAAGGCAACGAUGCGUAGCCGACCUGAGAGGGUGAUCGGCCACACUGGAACUGAGACCCGGUCCAGACUCCUACGGGAGGCAGCCGUAGGGAAUCUUCCGCAAUGGGCGAAAGCCUGACGGAGCAACGCCGCGUGAGUGAUGAAGGUCUUCGGAUCGUAAAACUCUGUUAUUAGGGAAGAACAAAUGUGUAAGUAACUAUGCACGUCUUGACGGUACCUAAUCAGAAAGCCACGGCUAACUACGUG
rnacentral:rRNA from 1 species